rnacentral:rRNA from 1 species
ACGAAGAGGUAUCGUAAUUGAAGAGGUUUGGAAAGACCCACCACAGAAGGUAAUAGUCCUGUAUGUUAAACGAGAAGACUUCAGAUAUGAUCCAGAGUACCACGGGACACGUGAAACCCUGUGGGAAGCAGGAGGGACCACCCUCCAAGGCUAAAUACUACCUAGUGACCGAUAGCGUAUAGUACCGUGAGGGAAAGGUGAAAAGAACCCCGGGAGGGGAGUGAAAUAGAACCUGAAACCCUGCACUUACAAGCUGUGGAAGCACAUUUCUUGUGUGACCGCGUACUUUUUGUAGAACGGGCCAACGAGUUACGUUAAGUAGCAAGGUUAAGCACUUAAGGUGCGGAGCCGUAGCGAAAGCGAGUUUUAACUGAGCGUUCAGUUACUUGACGUAGACCCGAAACCGGGCGACCUACCCAUGAGCAGGAUGAAGCGAAAGUAAAAUUUCGUGGAGGUCCGAACCCACGAGCGUUGAAAAGCUCGGGGAUGACUUGUGGGUAGCGGUGAAAUUCCAAUCGAGCCCGGAGAUAGCUGGUUCUCCCCGAAAUAGCUUUAGGGCUAGCCUCAAGGUGAGAGAUACGGAGGUAGAGCACUGAAUGUCCUAGGGGGUAUUGCACCUACCGAAGACUAUCAAACUCCGAAUGCCGUCAUCUUAUACUUGGGAGUCAGACUGUGGGUGAUAAGAUUCAUAGUCGAAAGGGCAACAGCCCAGAUCGUCAGCUAAGGUCCCUAAAUGUAAGUUAAGUGGUAAAGGAUGUGGGAUUGCACAGACAACCAGGAUGUUGGCUUAGAAGCAGCCACUCAUUCAAAGAGUGCGUAAUAGCUCACUGGUCGAGUGAUCCUGCGCCGAAGAUUUCCGGGGC